ACAAGCGAGCGGAGCGUGCGGUUUAAGUUCGAUGGUACGCGAAGAACCUUACCAGGGCUUGACAUGGCACUGACGCGGAUGAAAGUCCGUUUCCCCUUCGGGGCAGUGUCACAGAUGCUGCAUGGCUGUCGUCAGCUCGUGCCGUGAGGUGUUGGGUUAAGUCCGCUAACGAGCGCAACCCUCGCCGUGUGUUAUAUGUGUCACGCGGGACUGCCAGUCUUAAGCUGGAGGAAGGUGGGGAUGACGUCAAGUCAGCAUGGCCUUUAUGUCCUAGGCUACACACACGCUACAAUGGCCAGUACAAUGGGUAGCGAAGCCGCGAGGCGAAGCCAAUCCUCCAAAGCUGGUCUCAGUUCAGAUUGCAGGCUGCAACCCGCCUGCAUGAAGAUGGAGUUGCUAGUAACCGCAGGUCAGCUAUACUGCGGUGAAUACGUUCCCGGGCCUU
rnacentral:rRNA from 1 species